GACGAACGCUGGCGGCGUGCUUAACACAUGCAAGUCGAACGGAAAGGCCCUGCUUUUGUGGGGUGCUCGAGUGGCGAACGGGUGAGUAACACGUGAGUAACCUGCCCUUGACUUUGGGAUAACUUCAGGAAACUGGGGCGAAUACCGGAUAGGAGCUCCUGCUGCAUGGUGGGGGUUGGAAAGUUUCGGCGGUGGGGGCUGGACUCGCGGCUUAUCAGCUUGUUGGUGGGGUAGUGGCUUACCAAGGCUUUGACGGGUAGCCGGCAUGAGAGGGUGACCGGCCACAAUGGGACUGAGAGACGGCCCAGACUCCUACGGGCGGCAGCAGUGGGGAAUAUUGCACAAUGGGCGGAAGCCUGAUGCAGCAACGCCGCGUGCGGGAUGACGGCCUUCGGGUUGUAAACCGCUUUCGCCUGUGACGAAGCGUGAGUGACGGUAAUGGGUAAAGAAGCACCGGCUAACUACGUG
rnacentral:rRNA from 1 species